GACAUAGGUCGCAAACGUUAUCCGGAAUUAUUGGGCGUAAAGGAUGCGUAGAUGGUUCAAUAAGUUACUGGUGGGAAAUCGAGGCUCAACCUCGUGGAAGUCAGUAAUACUGUUGAACUUGAGUGCAGGAGAGGUUAACGGAACUUUAUGUGGAGCGGUAAAAUGCGUAGAUAUAUGAAAGAACAUCAAUAUGGCGAAGGCAGUUAACUAUUCUGUUACUGAC
rnacentral:rRNA from 1 species